AAAUAUAUAUUUUUUAUUCUUUUUUAUUCGCUUUGUUCCACCAUUUGUAUUUUUUUUUUCGCUACUGCAUUCAUUUUGUCGCUCUUUACUGCAGUCGUUAUCUUCUGCUGCAAACGUUGCCUCCGCUGCGAUGCGCUCUCCCUACCUAUCAUCCUUAAAUCCUACUGUACCCUCCUCGCUAUUGCCAUUUACGACUCACUUCCACGAUUU
rnacentral:lncRNA from 1 species